rnacentral:rRNA from 1 species
UGAGGAAUAUUGGGCAAUGGAGGCAACUCUGACCCAGCCAUGCCGCGUGCAGGAAGACGGCCCUAUGGGUUGUAAACUGCUUUUAUACAGGAAGAAACACUCGUACGUGUACGAGCUUGACGGUACUGUAAGAAUAAGGACCGGCUAACUCCAUG